CGGCGGACGGGUGAGUGACACGUGGGUAACCUACCUAUAAGACUGGGAUAACUUCGGGAAACCGGAGCUAAUACCGGAUAAUAUUUCGAACCGCAUGGUUCGAUAGUGAAAGANGGUUUUUGCUAUCACUUAUAGAUGGACCUGCGCCGUAUUAGCUAGUUGGUAAGGUAACGGCUUACCAAGGCGACGAUACGUAGCCGACCUGAGAGGGUGAUCGGCCACACUGGAACUGAGACACGGUCCAGACUCCUACGGGAGGCAGCAGCU
rnacentral:rRNA from 1 species